CUCAGCCAGACACUUUAUUGAAGGAAAGCGGACGUCAGCUGUUUGACGUUUGCUGUCAAUACAAUCAUUGUGAAAGGCAGAUGCGCACGCUUCGAAGCUGCUCCCGUUCCCGCUAGUAGACGGCGUAAUAUUAUUGUAAAAAAAAAGUUAUCGAGUGUUAUUGUGCUUCGUUAAUCGUGCGUUAGGUUAAUCGUGCGAUAGUUGUAAAGUGCAAUUGUUAAAGGCGUUUGCCGCAUGAAACUGGUUCCUCAAUACUGCUGAAAAAACUGAAGAAUUGCAAUGGAAUUGCAACAGUCAGCGCAACAAGCGGUAUACCUAAAAAAUAUACUGAAACCCUGGACCAAAGAAUCGCUGACGAAAUGUUGGGAUUGGUGCAGUCCAAUGCUCGAUGAAAAUUCUCUAAACAAACUUUACAAGUGUAUGGGAAGUUAUUGUAGCUACAGUACGAAUGAUACUGGUGCCAUGAUAUCCCAUCUGCAUGGGCACGAAGAUUAUGUUGACAUUUUAAAAUGCGCAUAUUGUGUUGCAUCGUUCAAGGAGAUACAUGAACUAAUUGCGCACAUUAAAAUAGAGCACGGACAAUGUCGAUAUCAAUGCAGUUAUUGUUUCUAUCGCUCACUGGACGCCGCAAAUGUUUUAAAUCAUCAAAAAAUAUAUCACAAAGAAUAUCUGUCGGUUGAAAAUUCCAUUCUUGAGCUUGCAAAACAUGAUGAGAUACCCAGAGUUGAUUAUAUGAAGGCGGCUGUUAGAGGAAAAGUACGACAAAAGAUCUUAAAUUGCACAGCAUGUCACGAGCAAUUUCUGGCCAUAUCAUCGUACAUACAACAUAUAAAGUCGGUGCAUGUUGGAACAGUCGUAUCAUGUAGCUGGUGUCGGAAGGAAAUCGUGAAGGAUAAUGCAGCUGCACAUUUGCUUACUCAUUAUAUUGGAACGUAUGAAUGUCUAUAUUGCGACUACGCCUGCAACAUCAAGCAAAUGAUGCAAAGACAUCUAGGCAAUGUUCAUGCCACUAAACCUUUGUUUUGUUCGAAAAGGCGUGAAGUAACAGAUGCGCACCUCCCGAAAAAAAAAUAUCUGCUAGAUUUACGGGAAAAGGUUCCUACAGAAUUGAUAAAGCUUUCAGACGUUGUUCCAAACACCACUACUGUCAUUUCUAAAAAAAGCGUUACCGAAAAAGAAGCCUCAGAUAAAGAACCGCAAAUUCCAAAAAUUCUUAAUGUUCAAGGCGGAAUCAAAGUCACUGAUGAUGGUGUAAUCAUGGCUGCAAAUCAAAUAUUACCAAAAACACCAGGAUAUACGAAAAUUUCUUUUACAAGUGAAGAUGUUAGCAUUGUUCCUGCCGGUAAUGUUCUUGUAAAACGAGCAGCAGAUUCGACUACCAUCAACAGCGCUAAGCGAGCGAGGUUGGAUCCUGCAGUGUUAAGAUUAUACGCAAACUCUAACAUAACUUUAACGAAAACUUCAAACACAAUGCCAUCAACAUCUGGCAAUGUGCCAAUUACUCGUGAUGUUGGUGAAAAACAAUGUUUCAUUAAAACUGGCUUACCACGAAAUAUUGCAUAUUCUACAGAUAGUGGUAUCGUAAAUUGCCAGACAUCUGUAGCUCUCAACAAGAUUUUGUCCUCCAAGGCAUUAAGUGUGAUAGCUAAUUCAACCGAAAACAGCUCUGAAUGUUCUGAUCUUUUAGAACAAACUAUGUCCUCCGUGGAACAGGACAAAUCUAUUCCUUUUUCUUAUCGUUACGCUUUAAGUGAGGGGAAGAAAAAAUCGAGCCCAGUAAGCUUUCGGUUGGUGGAGUUUCAGUCUGUUAUAGACCUAUACUAUCGCCAUUUAAGCAUUUGUUUGAACAAAUCAAAGAUUACACCGCUAGAUAUUAAUGUGUGUAGUAUAGGCGCUUGUACCCUUCGCUUCGCAGAUCAUGAUACACUAUUUCAACACAUGAAAAGUCGUCAUGGUGUAAUAACAAUAGAAACUCCGCUAACAAUAGUAUGCUCACAUUGUGCGCUUCAAGUUAACAAUAUUAGCAAUUACUUGUAUCAUCUUUCAGUACAUAGUCUCAAUCAGUAUGUCUGUUUCCUGUGUUGCUUUACCCAUUUUCUUCUACCAACAGUUGUCACUCACAUGAACGUGGAACAUAGCUGCACUUCGGUGCAACUAUCCUUUGCACAUCCUGUAAGGAAGGAUUUACUAUCUGACAUCAUUAUCGUAAUGCCUGGCACGAUUACUAUGGAUGAGAAGCGAAAAUGCAUUCAAGAAACCAUAAAACUCGGGGAACAACUCUUGGGACAAGGUGGUAGUUCGACAAAACCAGGUUUGAUACGGUCAAAUAAUAUCAUUGUAACGGAAACUGCAAAUAACAAGCGAUACCCAAAACAAUCUCACUACAGCACGUUGUAUAAAUGUGGACUGUGUCAGACUGUUGAAACUAGUAAACUCUCACUACAAAAACAUCUGAUCGAAGAUUGUGUUAAUAGGAAACGAAAUUUUUACAUAUGUGCGCAUUGUAGCAAAAUUUACAAAAAUUGGACCAAAAAUCCGGAAAAAAUUUUCGAGCACUUAUACUAUCAUGGCGAAAAUUUGUAUGGUUGUGGAAGCUGUUCAUACUAUCACUAUUUGUUUGAAAAUGUAGCUACGCAUAUUAAGACGGCGCUGCAUCAUUCUAAGUGCGAGAUAAAUGUGUUGCGUGAACCAGUAGAUCAAUGGGAAUGUAACGUAUGCCAAAUGAAAUCUCCUUUCAGACAAACUAUUAUGGAACACAUGCAAAAUGUUCACGAUUUGCCAGGAGAACGUUUCAUGUGUUCAUUAUGCAACUUUCGAACGUUAACAAAAGAGAAAAGCAUUAAACAUUUCAAACAGAAUCAUCAGAACCAGGACGUGGUAAUGAUAGAAAUGUAUCACGAGACCGAAAUAGAGAAUUCAUCAAAUAAUGAAGACACGGAUUCUGAUGCUUCUAGUGAUGUACAAAUUAUUGACGAUGUUAUAGAAGCUUUAUCAAUCUCUUCGUCAAGUGAUAUGGAAAACGAUGAUGAUAGGCUGACAGAAUUCGAUAAAGAAGCGGAAGAUUUGAGCGAUCAGAAAUUACUUCGAACUUGUCCAAUAUUAAGAGAGCAUAGUUAUUCCAAAAUAGAAAAUGAUGAAAAAACAGUGCACGUCAACGCGAAAGUGAAAAUGGAAAACUGUACAGGAACGAACCCUACAUUUGACACAUUUACCGGUAGGAAUGUUUUAUCAGAGCGUAACCAACCAUCCAUUGAAAGUUUCGUUGAUGCUGCAGAUGAAGAUAGUCCUUCAGCUUCAGCUGAAGUCAACGAAGUACUGAGCAAUACAGCUGUCCAGCAAGAGGGUACAAUAGCCACAGAAAGGGAACUACAACAUAGCUUGUCCCCAUCCACGAUAAUGAAUGGGUUGUCCAUGGAACGCCGUGCGUCUAAACGAGUUGCUGUAAAAAAAGAUGUUAGAUGUCGCUGGAAUGACUGCACCAAAUAUGGUUGCAUCUUUUGUGAUAAUAGUUUUGAACACUAUAAAUCACUGCACAUGCAUUCUCGAUUUGUACAUGGCAGUAUGAGUAAAAAUUUCCUACUUGACCCGAAAGUCAACACCAGUCAAAUCGAAGGCUCCUUUACAGGAUUUCGGUUAUUAAGUAUUGUGCGUUGCUUUUACUGCGAUAAGCAAGAUACAUGUUCAUCGCUUAGGAUCCAUCACGACAAAAAACAUGAAGGGAAAACAUUCAUAUGUCUUGACUAUUGGAACGCUUUCAAAUGUGGCCUUUGUGCAUAUCUUAACGGGUCUGGCAAUGAGAAGGAAUUCAGCUAUCAUUUCCAACAGUUUCAUAGCGAUGGCAAAAAUUUUAUAUCGGCAUUUGAUCACAUUGACGAUACAUUCAUUCAAUGGGCAAUGACACUGGGAAAGAAGCUUAGCGUACGAAACAAUGCAGAGGUCAAAGUAAUAAAAUAUAUUUGUGGUACUUGUGGUGAAAAGUGCGAAGAUGAAUUGAAUGUGGGCAUGCAUGUAGCAAGGCAUAUUUUAAAAUUUGAUUGCGAUCAUUGUAGUGCAAACUUUAAGGAAUUAACAACACUGUAUGAACACGUCAUAAUGAUGCACCGGAAGGAAGACUAUGUUCCUCCGCCAACCGUUCCAAUAUUGUCCGACCAACUGUUGCUUGAUGUUCAAAUGUGUUUUAUCAAUGGGUUUAUUUUAUCAAAACGCGAAGCACAAUUUACGAGUCAUGGAUCGUUGCAGAUGUUAGAAGAAGGUUAUCAAAAGUACUACGAAGAUCAGAUUAAAGCAUUAGAUAGGUUUAAAGCUUUGUUGACGAUCCCUCUUUCAACAACAAGUACAGAAGAAGAUAACACAACAGGUAAAUCUUUUCUUUUAAAUCAGAAGUCUUGGCCAGUCCUUAAAAUACUACCUGUAGAUGUAACCACUUUAGAAGAAGCUGUGUAACUCGAUCUAUCGUAUUUGAUUGUACAUUUUCUUUGUUUGAGAUAUUCGAAUAGGCUAACAUUAUGUUUACAAAAGUCUUAUCUCGUCUAGUUGUUUAAUAAUUCAUAGUUUGUCAGAUCUAAAAAAAUUAGGAUACCAUAAAACCGCGCGAGUAAAAAUAAGAUUACUUUGUGUUAAGAUUGUAAAAUUUAGCAAUUAGAUUGAGAUUGAAAAAUGAAAGUUAUUGGAAAUUAAUGAAUAUCAAAAAAUGAUUAAUUGUUCAUUACAUUUAUUCGUAUUACAUGCACUGGAAAUCGGGAAACAACCCAAUUCUUUCACACGACACAUCCGGUGUAAAAAUUCCACCACGACUGCCAUCUGAUUCAUCUGUAACAAAAGAUUAAUAUCCGGUUGCGCGAUAAAAUAAGCUAUGGAAAGCUUAAUAUAUUGGGUAGUUAUGCCACAAAUACUACAUGUUAUGAAGAAAAGCAUUGCGUAAGAAGGUAUGUUUGUAACACAGUUGAAAGAAACUUCUAUUGUAACAUUCUGUUCUAAGUAUUACUAGCAUCACAGUAAUACUAUAUUGUCUGUCAAUAGUUUUGACGAUCCUUUUUAACGGGCUCUGUACUGUUUUAGUGUGUCGCAUAUGUUACAGUACGCUACCACUUUUCGGUCUUAUGUAGGCAGUACAGAUACGGUCUGAAUUGAGGAAUUGCAAUAAUACGUGCAAUGCGCCCGAUUAAUUAUGGUUAAAACGAUCCGAUCACCAAUUCUAUCGUAACCUUCUUUAUAAUGGCAACUAUUUGUAAUCCCUGCAUCCUAAUUCUUCACUCCAUUCCUGAUUUAGUUACCACAAUCGUAUUAUGAUUGGAAAAGGCUAAGUUUUUUUAAAGAACCAUUUGUUUAGCCGCGAGCCGGACAAUUCACAUGAAUGCAAAUAAACAACUAUAUGUGCAACUUAUUAUCUGAAGAAAGUCAAACUACAGCACUACAAACUACAGUAAUAAAUUGUAAUAUUUCGAACAUAGACUACAAAGAUUUGCUAAUUUGGCAGUGCUAUUAGGGAUCAGGGUGUAAAAUUAAUUGCUUUUUAAAACUAAGAACAAAACCAAACACUUAAUUUGUAAUACAUUACUUUAUAUCAUAUUGUAACUAUUUUUCAUUAAUCUAAGCUGCCAUUUUAUUUUGCUCGGUCAUACAUACGUGUAUUUUGUUGACGUUUUUUAGCCUUGAUUGUUGUUUUCACGUAGACUAACAAAACUGUUCGGGUUAUAUUUUGCGUUAGCAUUAACAUUGAAACGAUUCAAUAGUUCAUUUUUAAAAGCGAAACAACCAAACAAGCAACAAAUUCAAGUGUUAUUGAGAUAUAUGUUCGUUUAAGGUAAAAAAAUAAAUAAAAAAAUAAAAACGUUGCAGUGCAUUGAAACCAUAAUCCAUCAUGAUAAAACAAAUUGUUCUGAUCCGCUCGAAUAUUUUAAUCUGCUGUUUUACCAUAUAACCUCAUCGAAGCAAUUUCGUGUCGAAUUGAAAAAAAGUUUUAAAAUGAAAGUAAAUGAAUGUAACAUAAAUGUCCGAUUUAAACGAACGGAUUUAUUUUUUUGUAAUGUAAGAAAAAUGUCGAACCUAUACUGAAGCUCACUUAAGCUAUUUUAUACCGUUGCUAGUUUCUAAUUUAGCCUUCCCUUACCAAGCGAUUACUGAAAUAAUAAAAUUGUCAAACAUACAGCUAUUUGUAAAAAAACCUAUUAACUCUUGUGUUGCUUGCAUGCAACUCCACCAACGAACAAUCCUUCAGUAUUAGUGAUUAAAACGGUGAAUCAUUUGGUAACUGUUUUUAAGGCAAUUCAAGUUCUACUUGGCGGCACUAUGGUAACACCGCCUUUCUCUACAAGGCAGGAUCGAAUUUCAAAUCUGACUUCACUGCCACGAAUAAUUUUAAUCAAAGAAAGCCAGAAUUAGCCAAAACCUUUGGAGGUUAUAGUGUCACAAAAGAAGAAAUUCUACUGCUUUCAAGGAAGCCUUUGACCAUGUGUGUAACUGCUUCUUCGAAUGCCAACGUGAAUAUGGCGAUUGGUUCUAUACUUAUUUGGCGUUACAAAACGUUAUUAUAAUUAUUGUGAAGCCCAUAUGCCGAUCUUUGUCUCAAUAAAUAAAUAAAUAAAAUUAAAUAAAUUAUCGGUAAUUACGGUUACAUAAUUGUACUAUUUGAACGUCUUAUUUUUAAAAAGUGUAGCUAAUUUUUUGUAGGUUGCGUUUAAUUUGUGAUUAAGCUUAUGUGUUUGAGACCUUUAUACCCACUACCUAAAGGAUAGGAUAUUUUCAGUAAAGUUCAUUAUUAUUAAUCUACCGAUUAAUGAUAACGUUUAAUAAAUUAAACACAAACAUAUUUUUAAUCACGUUCUCCCUAGUGUUUUUUUUUCGUUUAAAUGAUUUCAUCCAGCUCUUAAUAUUUGGAUGAAACGUUAGAACGUGCAGCGUGAGUUCGCAAGACACUCAUCAGAAACUCGUGCACAUUCGUGGAAAUGAGUGCCUCGUUGUAUGUGUAUGGUUAAAACAAUUUAAUUUUUACUUCAUUUUAGAGGGAAUAAAUGUUGUUAUCAGAUUACUGACAAGUGGAAUCGAAAGAAACAUUUAACAUAUUUUAUGCAAAUUAGUGGAUUUGUUUUAAGCAUAAUACCUAAGUUACGGUUUUAUUUUCAAUUCAACUCCAAUGCAAGCUAAGAUUCAAAUAUACGAUUCUAUGCCAUACUUUUGUAACGGACACGAUGAGCACUCAGAAGUACUCGUGUACGUUCGCUAAACUGAGUGCUGUAGUUGAAAUUGGGUGGCAGAUAUAACAUUCAGUACGGGCAGUCGUUUUUCCAUUGUCAACGGAACCGGUUCCACUAGCAGCCAACAGCUCUUCGUUCGCUCAUAACCAUUGGAGGCGUGCGUCCAAAGUUCGUUGCACGCACACGUACCGAAUGUACCGUCUGUCUGAAUAUUCGAACAACUGCAUACGGUGCAUAUUUGCACGCUAGUUUUGCCGAGUGCAUUCCUUCCGGAUGAUUGUGAAAAACGGCGGUGUGCUAGCAGUAGAGGCAGCCGAUAAAGAGAUAGUGCCCUGUUAGUGUAUUGAAUCGGAAUUGGUAGAGGAAUUUUCGAUUACGUGGCUCGUAACAAACGACGGUCGCUUCCGUACAUCGUGCGUUAGCGUGAAAGAUCUAACGGCCGUUAGUAAGGCGUUUCGAAUUCCAGCAUAACAGCAGUAAGCGGGAAUGUGUAGUGCAGCCUGACCACUACUGCGACCGGUUGCAGACAGUGUAGGGUGCAGGGCAGAAAACAAAACACUGUAUCAUUCCGUCUGCGAAGAUUCACCCGAUUUCAUCCCACAAACCGCACACACAUACAAUGUACGGUAAUUGACCGUUAUCGAAGGUCCCGUCGGGAUCGUUGCGCACCGCGUUAGUGUUGGCGCACGUGUGUGGAUAUGUGAGUUUGCAUGUGCUGGAAGAUACAUGUGGCGUUGGGUCGUUUGCUUUCUUUUCUUUUCCCCCAUCCCCGUGUGCGUGUAUGUUGUGAACGGAAAAUGAAGAGAUAAUUAGCAAGUGCGCUGCAGCUGCAACGCGAACAUACCGUUCGUCCGCCGCCUACGCUUGGUCGGUAGUGUUGUGAUGUUGCCACCGGCCACCGGGUCACUGGUUCUGGCCGGCACCCGUAGCGUCCGUAGCGGCCAUUUCGUGAUCGUUGCCACCGUGCGAACCGUGGCACCACAGGAAUAAAAAUAAACACUAAACCGAGCCGGUGGGGAUGCAGUUUGGAUGGAAUUGCACUACCGAGAGCGAAGAGUGCGCGAAAUGGAAAAGCGCCAGUGAUGCGGGUCGACAGUGAAAAAGCAACGAAAAAACCCCCAACAAUCAAGCUACGAUAACGAGCAGAAUAUAAACAAGCAUUACGGCAGAUUCGGAAUGGCAUAGAAAGGAACAAAAUUUAAAACAUUGGUGAACAGUUUAAAAAGCACACGGUAGUUUGAACUAAAAUCACCAU